rnacentral:rRNA from 1 species
UACGGGGGGGGCAAGCGUUGUUCGGAAUUACUGGGCGUAAAGGGUUCGUAGGUGGCUUGCUAAGUCAGACGUGAAAUCCCUCAGCUUAACUGGGGAACUGCGUCUGAGACUGGUGAGCUUGAGUGCAGGAGAGGAACGCGGAAUUCCAGGUGUAGCGGUGAAAUGCGUAGAUAUCUGGAGGAACACCGGUGGCGAAGGCGGCGUUCUGGACCAAUUCUGACGCUGAGGAGCGAAAGCCAGGGGAGCAAACGGG